ensembl:lncRNA
CUUUCGGACUAAAUCUAAAAUAUCUUAAACUGUGUUCCGAAGAUGAACAGAGGUCUUACGGGUUUGGAACGACAUGAGGGUGAGUCAUUAAUGACAUAAUAUUCAUUUUUGGGUGAACUAACCCUUUAAUGAUCGAGAUGACCAAUCAAAUCAAAGGAAGCAAGCUUUACUGUUCAUAGGAGCAGAAAAGUUUUAUUUUAAAUAUAUAAUUUAAUGGGAUGAGAAAAGAAUCUCCCAGUCCAUAGCCAACCAAAUGCCCCAUUUCGUCCAUCAAGUUUUGAAGUUUGAAGGCAAAUUCCUAUAAUUAUGGUAAUAAGGUGUUGUUAUGGCAUUAUAUCAGAUAUUAGCUAUCUGGUUAGUUAAUGGAGUUUUGUUUGUUCUUUCCCAAAAUCAGACAGUAACCUAGCUAACAAUUAUUGGUUCCCAGAACGUGAAACAAGAAAGUAAAUUUCAAUGAUAUUUUGACCAUUGGACAAGAAAAUGUCCCCAAUUUCCAUUUUAGAAAUCUGAUCUCCCAGUCUUCACAAUAACAUAGAUGGGUACACACAGAAAUAUAAUUUAGAAAAAUUAAACCAUUUUACCAUUAUUUAAAAUACAUAUCCUAUAUGUGACUAUAUUCUUUUUUUUAUCAUGUAAUACACUUGUUUGUUCACACAGAGUUCACAGUUUUAAUAAUGUUUUCCUUUUAUUUUCAAUAUCUGAGGUAGAUUAUCCAUUGUUGCUUUCAGUGUGGCUAAAAAGGUGACGCAAAAUGAUAUUCAAGCUCACAUUAAACACUUUCAACUUUAAAUAAAGUACAUAGUAACAGUGCACUGAAAAGAGAGUUUAAUUGGAACAUUAAAAAUGUGGAAGAAAAAAAUCUUUGAGGUGCAUUUUAUUAUACAAAGUUUUAGAUGUGUAGUUUCAUGGUACAAUUCACAGGUAUAAUCUAAAUGCAUUUAUUAUUAACAAUGCUAGAGAAACAUCAUAAGUGGACCUCAGAGAACAGUACAAAAUAAUAAACAAGCAGUUUAUGAUCUCUCUCUCUCUCUCUCUCUCUCUCUCUCUCUCUAUAUAUAUAUAUAUAUAUAUAUAUACAUAUAUUUGAGUUAUAAGACUAGAAAAAAGGGUAAGAAAAAAUUCUGUGUGAAGGGUAUAAAAAAAAUCUAUAAAGAUCAAUGCUCCUUUAGAACUUUUGAUACCAGUCUUUGGUGUCUUUUCUCCAACCGCAGUCGUGGGUGUGGUCAUGGUUUUCUCUUCUCCAACCGCAGUCGUGGGUGUGGUCAUGGUUUUCUCUUCUCCAACCGCAGUCGUGGGUGUGGUCACAUUUGUUUCUUCUCCAACCGCAGUCGUGGGUGUGGUCAUGGUUUUCUCUUCUCCAACUGCAGUCUUGGGUGUGGUCAUGGUUUUCUCUUCUCCAACCACGGUCAUGGGUGUGGUGACGGUUGUCUCUUCCCUAGGUUUUUUCCAACUAAAAAGAAAAAGAUUUAAAACCAUGGUCAAAUGAUAUAAAGAUAUAUGACAGUGGUACUUCAGAGGUAACUCCCUUGAAAAAGUUCCCCACCCUUGAUAAUUUUGUUUAUGUGAUGCAAUUGCUUAAUUUGUGGGUGUUCUAUGCAAGAAUUACACUAUCUUGUAGCCAGUCCAGAAAGAUAAAAAAGGAGUAAGAUGGGCUCAUUAAAGACCAGUCAUGCUGCUGCAUUCUGGAUCAUUUGUAUAGAUUUGAUUGCACAUGACGGAAUUUUAAUUUGACACAUCCAGUGAAAUGCCUGCACUCAGUUGUCAAGUCAUCAUAGGUAAGUCGCAAUGGCAACACACUAGCAUUACUUUAGUUAGUUUAUUUGUUUGUAGGGAUAAUGGAUAUUAAUAAGCAUGGCAGUAAAUGUAACAGAAUUAGCCAAAAAGGCUAUUAGCUUUUAGAUCUCAUGGGGCAUUCACACCAGAUGCGACUUGCACAAAUAAAUCAAGCUAGUUGGACGCUUGAACAUUUUGAGUUUACUCGCUUCAUUCGCACGUGAAAUUCGCUUCAUUCUUGCGUGAAACUCACUUCACAACAGACGCAAAUUUGCGUCAUGGGAGGGGUUUCUGCCAGUUGAGUUCACGCAGCAUUGUGAUUUCAACCACCAUUUAAUCUGAUAAUUUUCAAAAUAUUACUGUCAUCAAUUCAUGAAAUGUAGUUUUAAAAGUAUUUCAGGCGAGAAUGUAGUUGUUUUAAACUCAAAUAUGCAGUCUAUUUAUAAAGACAGUGCUUAUUUAAAAAUGUGUUUCACCGAUUUCAGAGACGAUCAGUUCCACGCGAUCAGGAGGAGCUCAGUGCUCAUGUUACCAACAGUCUCGACUCGGCAAGUCCUUUUGACAUUUGUGAUGUCUCUUUUGUUGUUAAACAUAAAAUAUAAUUCCUUCAUUAUUGUUAUGGAUUUUGCCUCUGCUUGCUACAUCUUAAUCAAGUCACUACUAGAGCAAGCUCCUGAUUGGUUAACGUGGUGGGAAUUUUUGCCAAAGCUCAGAUUUUUCAACUCAUGCGAAUCGCGCCGCAGGUUGUCUAGUCACGUCUUUGCAUUGACUUUACAUGUAAAUCACUCACGCUUAAUGCUUCAUUCGGAUCUGGUUUGAAUGCACCAUUAGGCCCUGUCCACACAGAGACACGUUUAGCUGUAUAUACAAAAAUUUUGUAUCGUAUAGGCGUUUUGGGAGAGUGAAACCGCUAUUUUUUUAAACUGGGUCCCAGAGUGGAUAAAUCUGAAAAUGACAGCCUUGCAUUCUUGUGUGGACAGUCAACCUGUAUAUUUUCUGUCACUAGCCCACACUUGCCCCUAGUCAGACAUGGCUAUGUCAUGUAACGGCAACAACAUGAACAAACCCUGAAUCAUUGUCUUUUUAUUAACUAACAUUAACACUGGUUAAUAAAUGUAUUGUACCAUGGUUGUUUUUAUACCGCGCGCAAGGUUUAUGCGC